GGUAUUACUACGUUGAAACACCGGUUCUCGUCCGAUCAGCUAAUUUAAGCAACGUCGAGCCAGGUCAUUACCUAGAUGGGUGACCAGUUGGGAAUACCAGCUGCUGUAA